CAGCCGCUUACACCGCAUCGGAGGAGAUCGAAUAAUGGAAGCUGGGAAGGCGAAGCAGCAGCAGCAGCGAGAACGACGUACCAGCAACGGAAUCAUCAUCGAAGUGUACGAGGAAGCACCGCCGAGACCCGGUGCUAAUCGUCCGAUUCAGCGCCGGAGUCGACUCGGUGCACCGUCGUCGCUCGCUUACGACCGUAGGAAGAUGCUGCUUGCCUACUCUCAGCAGCUGCGACAGUGCCACGAGCAGCCAACCCAACGCUGCUGCAAGAUCGUACACAGGCCGAGUUGGGGCCAAUGGAAGGCAGCCUUUCUGCGGAAUCAUGGUGGUGUAAGUUAGACGACUAACCUCCUUUAGCUGAUACUGGUGAGAUGAGAAGCUUGUGUACUAACGAGUAGGGUUAGGAUGGGGACUGAGACCGGCUUUUGUUUUGAGUUGGAAUGUCUUAGAUGAAGAAGAGGAAUUCUUUGCGACGGCGAACUCGGGCGUGGAUUCGUCGAAUUCUGACCAGAAUCAGAAGGCGACUAGAGGAGGACAGCGCUAUCGUGCCUGCUGCCGAACACUCUCCUUCAUGUUCUUGUCGAGUGAGUGAACGUUUCACACGAAGCUGCCGGGAUUUCUUCUUCUUCUUCUUCUUCUUCUUCCUUCCUCUCUAAUGGUGCUUUUGUGUGCGUUCAGGGAAUGUGGAGGUGCCUACUGGGAAGGCUUUCGUGGUUGUGGAGGCGUCGCAAUGGUGAUAGGCGGUUCUCCGGUUGCCGCAAGGCGCUGAGUUGUUCCUAGUUGUCGUCAUGCAUGCAUGAAUGUUUGGGAGUAAUAAAGACAGCUUCUCCUUCUUCUAUAAUGCUUCCUUAUAAUCAAUCGAUCGUCUGUGUCAGUGCCUUAGAAUGAUGUCCCGUUCGUUAUCAUCAACGUCACAUAAACUACUUACAUAGUGGGUGAGCUGCUCACGAAGGAUCGGAUUGUGUGUGUGAUUAGUCGAUUGAGGUUUGGGCUUCACUAUACGCGAGUUUGUGUUUUGGGUUUGGAAUUUGAUAGGAACUCGGUGAAGUUUAAAUGAGU
rnacentral:lncRNA from 1 species